UACGUAGGGUGCGAGCGUUGUCCGGAAUUAUUGGGCGUAAAGAGCUCGUAGGCGGUUUGUUGCGUCUAUCGUGAAAACCUGCAGCUUAACUGUGGGCUUGCGGUGGAUACGGGCAGACUUGAGUUCGGUAGGGGAGACUGGAAUUCCUGGUGUAGCGGUGAAAUGCGCAGAUAUCAGGAGGAACACCGGUGGCGAAGGCGGGUCUCUGGGCCGAUACUGACGCUGAUGCGCGAAAGCGUGGGGAGCAAACGGG
rnacentral:rRNA from 1 species